rnacentral:tRNA from 1 species
AGGCUAGAUAGCAUAGUGGCUUAUGCAAAAGAUUGCAAAUCUUUUUACAUCGGUUCGAAUCCGGUUCUAGCUUU